rnacentral:piRNA from 1 species
UGGAGAGAAAGAGGGAAGCCAGUGUA